rnacentral:rRNA from 1 species
UACGUAGGGUGCAAGCGUUGUCCGGAAUUAUUGGGCGUAAAGAGCUCGUAGGCGGUCUGUCGCGUCGGAUGUGAAAACCCAGGGCUCAACCCUGGGCCUGCAUUCGAUACGGGCAGACUAGAGUUCGGUAGGGGAGACUGGAAUUCCUGGUGUAGCGGUGAAAUGCGCAGAUAUCAGGAGGAACACCGGUGGCGAAGGCGGGUCUCUGGGCAGUAACUGACGCUGAGGAGCGAAAGCGUGGGGAGCGAACAGG